UACGGGGGGUGCGAGCGUUGUCCGGAAUCACUGGGCGUAAAGGGCGCGUAGGUGGCCUGAUAAGGGUGUGGUGAAAGUCCGGGGCUCAACCCCGGAUCUGCCGUGCCGACUGUUAGGCUAGAGUACUGUAGGGGCAGGCGGAAUUCCGGGUGUAGCGGUGGAAUGCGUAGAGAUCCGGAGGAAGACCGGUGGCGAAGGCGGCCUGCUGGGCAGUUACUGACAGCUGAGGACGCGACGAGCAGUGGGGAGCAACACGG
rnacentral:rRNA from 1 species